rnacentral:rRNA from 1 species
AACGAACGCUGGCGGCAUGCCUAACACAUGCAAGUCGAACGAGAUCUUCGGGUCUAGUGGCGCACGGGUGCGUAACGCGUGGGAAUCUGCCCGUUGGGUCGGAAUAGUAGUUGGAAACGACUGCUAAUACCGGAUGAUGACGAAAGUGCAAAGAUUUAUCGCCAGAGGAUGAGCCCGCGUAGGAUUAGCUAGUUGGUGUGGUAAAGGCGCACCAUGGCGACGAUCGUUAGCUGGUCUGAGAGGAUGAUCAGUCACACGGGGACUGAGACACGGCCCAGACUCCUACGGGAGGCAGCAGUGGGGAAUAUAGGACAAUGGGCGAAAGCCUGAUCCAGCAAUGCCGCGUGAGUGAUGAAGGCCUCAGGGUUGUAAAGCUCUUUUACCCGGGAUGAUAAUGACAGGACCGGGAGAAUAAGCUCCGGCUAACUCCGUGCCAGCCGCCGCGGUAA